AGUGCGGCAGCGGCUGUCGGCCAGCCGGAGUUGGCGCCGCGGCCUGCCCGGCGCAGCCGCUGUCCACCUGCCAGCGGGGGAGGGGCGCGGCCGGCGCGCGGGUCAGAGGUCGCCCGGCCGCCGCCGGCGUCAUUCAUAAGGCCUGGCGCUGGGCGGCCGAGGCCAGGCCUGCUUGGGGGCCAGGCCGCGGGGCCUCCUGGGUUUUCCCAGCCGCACUCAGGAGGAUGCCGGGCCCGGCGCAAGGGGUGGCUGGGAAGGGGCGCUCAGUGUCCACCCCUUUGCUGGGCCCUAGCCCUGGGCUCCUGCCAGUAGUAAGAGCUGGCACCCACUUAACGCUCCUUCGCACCACACUCCCAUCGCGUAGGUGCUACCAUCAUCACUCCCAUUGCACAGAUGAGGAAUCUGGGGUACAGCCAGGCAGAUUCCCUGCUCCUGUUCCCCGUCUGUAUUUCCUGUCUGGGCAAUGCGAAGGGAACCUGCCCCUUCCUUCAGGAUCCUCUUUCAGUACACACUUAGCAGAGGACAGUCGGGGUUUCCCAACUGCGACACUACUGACGGUGAGGCUGGAUCAUUUUCUGCUGGGGGGUGUCUUGUGCACCACUGGGUGUUGAGCAACAUCCCCCGCCUCUACCCACUGGAUGCCAGUAGCCCCUCCUCUAUCUUCCUGCUGGCUGUGGCAACCGCUGUCUCCUGACAUUGGUGAAUGUGCUCUUGCGGGGCCGAACUGCUCCUGAUUGAGAAGCACUUAAGAGAGGGUCAGGGGAGGGGAGAAGCCAGGUCACCCCGACUCGGAAGGGCUAGCUGGGCUUAACUACAAGCCGAUCUGCUGCUUCGACUUGAAUAGCCUCCACCUUCUCCAGCUGCUGUCUGCCCCCAUGUUCCCAGAUCAACCACAGUUCCAGGGAGGGAGAGUCAGAGCCUUUCUGUGAACUAUGGGGAAAUGGCUGACCACUCCGCCUCUGGAUGGAUAGAUACAUGGACAGCUGGUUUAAGUUUUGACAAAGAAAAACCCCUCCUGGAACCUCAGUCUGGAAUACAACUGUAGAACCAAUUAAGACUGGAGUAGGAAGCUGGAAAGAAGACGUGGGACAGCCAACCCACUGGACAGGGCAAGAGGCCACUUCUGGGGGAGAGUGGACAAAGUUGCUUCAGUCCACCAGAGACAAAAGCACAAACAAUCAUUCUAAAUGAAGUGCUUUUAAUUUUCAGACCAAACAUUUUUAAUAUAAAAACA